rnacentral:tRNA from 1 species
GGGCGGCUAGCUCAGUUGGUUAGAGCACUUGCUCGACACGCAAGGGGUCGUAAGUUCGAAUCUUAUGUCGCCCACCU